GCCAGGCAUGGUGGCGGGUGCCUGUAAUCCCAGCUACUUGGGAGGCUGAGGCAGGAGAACUGCUUGAGCCCAGGAGGCGGAGGUUGCAGUGAGCUGAGAUUGCACCACUGCACUCCAGUCUGGGCAAUAGAGUGAGACUCUGCCUCAA
rnacentral:SRP_RNA from 1 species